rnacentral:rRNA from 1 species
AUGCAAACAUCCUGUAGCAAGUUGAUCCGAUGGAGUCCCCAAUUCUUUGAUUCCGGUGCACCAACCGCCGCAAAUUCCAAAAUGGCUUUUCCAGCCCUACCAGCUACCCUCACAUGCCUCACACUGUUAGCUCUCUUGUCGCUGGCCAUGGCGGCUGAUAACAACUCCACCGGCCUCAUCCUCAUAAACUGCGGAGCAUCAGUCCAAGAAGACGAUGAUAAUGGUCGUACUUGGGACGGAGACACCGGCUCCAAGUUCGCGCCAUCACUGAAAGGAGUUACAGCCACUGCUCCAAACCAAGACCCUUCACUCCCCUCCACCGUCCCUUUUAUGACCGCGCGCAUCUUCGCUUCAAACUACACCUAUUCCUUCUCUGUCACCCCAGGCCGCGUGUUCUUACGCCUCUACUUCUAUCCGGUUGCUUAUCCAAACUACGCCGUCGCAGAUGCCUUCUUCAGUGUCACGACACCGAAUCUUGUCCUCUUAAAUGAUUUCAAUGCUUCGCAAACAGUUCAGGCGAUCAGUUCUGCCUACCUUGUGCGCGAGUUCUCGGUGAAUGUUUCUUCAGGCAGCUCCUUGGACCUCACCUUUGCCCCAUCAGCACAUCACAAUGGUUCUUACGCGUUUGUGAACGGCAUUGAGAUUGUUUCCACUCCUGACAUCUUCACAGCACCUGACACAAGAUAUGUCGGUGAUAACACAUCUCCAUUCACAUUCGACUCUGCCAUGGCCGUCCAGACUAUGUACCGGCUCAAUGUCGGGGGCCAAGCCAUUUCCCCGAAAGGUGACUCGGGCUUCUACCGCUCAUGGGCCAAUGAUGCCCCCUACAUAUUUGGUGGCUCUGGGGUGACCUUCUCCAAGGAUGACAAUUUGACUAUCACCUAUACAUCCAAAGUGCCGAAUUACACGGCGCCAGUUGAUGUCUAUGGUACAGCUCGGUCGAUGGGGCCAACUGCACCGAUCAACCUGAACUACAACCUUACAUGGAUUUUACCGGUUGAUGCGGGGUUCAGUUACCUCCUGAGGUUCCAUUUCUGUGAGAUUCAGUAUCCUAUUACAAAGCAGAAUCAGAGGUCCUUCUUCAUCUACAUCAACAACCAGACAGCGCAGGAGCAAAUGGAUGUCAUCGUCUGGAGCGGCGGAAUCGGUAGAACAACAUACACAGACUAUGUUAUCCUGACUGCUGGCUCCGGCCAGGUGGACAUGUGGAUUGCACUUCACCCUGAUCUUUCAAGUAGACCAGAGUAUUUUGAUGCAAUACUGAAUGGUCUUGAGAUCUUCAAGCUACAGAAUUACGGAGCAUCGAACAAUCUUGCCGGGCUCAAUCCUCCACUUCCACAAAAGCCAGCUGAUGCCAGUCCCGGCGCGGCAUCUGGCAAAGUGAAAUCUGUCGCGGCUAUCAUAGGUGGAGCUGUUGGUGGUUUCGUAGUGCUGCUGGUCACAUGUUUUGGCAUUUGCAUCAUCUGCAAACGAAAGAACAAGAGCAAGAAGAAGAAGAAGAUAUCCAAGGAUCCUGGUGGUAAAUCUGAAGAUGGUCACUGGACUCCUCUCACCGAGUACAGCGGAUCACGAUCAGCUAUGUCGGGAAACACGGCCACCACCGGGUCGACACUGCCAUCCAACCUCUGCCGCCACUUCACUUUCGCCGAGCUUCAGACCGCCACCAAGAACUUCGACCAGGCCUUCCUGCUCGGCAAAGGUGGGUUCGGGAACGUGUACCUCGGGGAGAUCGACAGCGGCACCAAGGUGGCGAUCAAGCGGUGCAACCCGAUGUCGGAGCAGGGCGUCCAUGAGUUCCAGACGGAGAUCGAGAUGCUGUCCAAGCUCCGGCACCGCCACCUCGUGUCCCUCAUCGGCUACUGCGAGGACAAGAGCGAGAUGAUCCUGGUGUACGACUACAUGGCCCACGGCACGCUCCGGGAGCACCUGUACAACACCAAGAACCCGCCGCUGUCGUGGAAGCAGCGGCUGGAGAUCUGCAUCGGCGCCGCCCGGGGGCUCUACUACCUGCACACCGGCGUGAAGCACACCAUCAUCCACCGCGACGUCAAGACCACCAACAUCCUGCUGGACGACAAGUGGGUCGCCAAGGUGUCCGACUUCGGGCUGUCCAAGACGGGGCCCAACAUGGACGCCACCCACGUCAGCACCGUCGUCAAGGGCAGCUUCGGGUACCUGGACCCGGAGUACUUCCGGCGGCAGCAGCUCUCGGAGAAGUCCGACGUCUACUCCUUCGGCGUCGUGUUGUUCGAGGUGCUCUGCGCGCGCCCGGCGCUGAGCCCCUCGCUGCCCAAGGAGCAGAUCAGCCUCGCCGACUGGGCGCUGCGCUGCCAGAAGCAGGGCGUGCUCGGCCAGGUCAUCGACCCGGUGCUCCAGGGGAAGAUCGCGCCCCAGUGCUUCCUCAAGUUCACGGACACCGCGGAGAAAUGCGUGGCCGACCGCAGCGUCGACAGGCCGUCCAUGGGCGACGUCCUCUGGAACCUCGAGUUCGCGCUCCAGCUGCAGGAGAGCGAGGAGGACACCGGCAGCCUCACGGAGGGGACGCUGUCGUCGUCGGGCGCGUCGCCCCUCGUCAUGACCAGACUGCAGUCGGACGAGCCGUCGAUGGACGCAAGCACGACCACGACGAGCACGACCACGAUGAGCAUGACGGGACGGAGCAUCGCGAGCAUGGACUCGGACGGGCUGACGCCGAGCGCCGUCUUCUCGCAGAUCAUGCAUCCGGAUGGCAGGUGA